CUAAUGCUGAAGUAUUUAACAAAAUAUUGGAGCUCAGUUUAGCAUGGACUUAUCUUUCAGCCGUGGGCAGAGGGUAUCUCAAACAGGUGGAGGCACAGAGGGUCUCCGGUGUAAACACCAGCACUGGGUCCUGGGUUUCUGUCCAGGGCAGUGAGGUUUUCAGCUGAAUCUCGGUGGCACAUCCCUUUAGCCAGUGCUUUCCAGCCAAACACCACAGAAGCACAGCUGUAACGGAGUAAGUUGGGCUUAUCCCUCACUGCAGCCCAGGAGAAUGUACACCGGGGGAAGUGUUGGGCAUCUCAAUAAAAGGAUGUUAAAAAGGAUUUGUCAUAGGUUUUAGGCUUUGGCUAGGUAAUGGGGGAAGGCUACUCCAAGUGGAAUUUACUGUGGAUUGAAUGCUGUCAGGAAGUGGGGACAAGUCUAUGAUUGGUUGUCUUAAUAAAUCUUUUCUGGAAGGAGAGGAGAGCAAGGUUAAAGGUGUGAUUGGUAAAGAAUCAACAGUCACACGUAUUAACUGGGAGAAGGUGAUAUUUGGUACUUAUGGGGUUUCCACAAUAACUUUGUGCUAUAGACAAAGUUUGCCCCCCCCCCCACCAAAUUUUAAAUCCUCAGUGUGUUGGUAUUAGGAGGUGGGGCCUUUGGGAGGUGAUUAGGUCAUGAAGGUGGAGCCGUCAUGAAUGAGAUUUGUGCCCUUACGAAAGAGACCCCAGAGGGCUCCCUUACCUCUCUGCCAUAUGAGGCUGCAACGAGCAAAUGCCAUCUAGGAACCAGGAAGUGGGUCCUCACCAGACAUCGAAUCUGCUAGUACCUUGAUCUUGGACUUCCCAGACUCCAGAACUGUCCAGAAAGGCCCCAGACAUUCAGAUCAAAUAGGUAAAACAAUGGAUGAUCCAAAUUGUUAAUGACCUCGCACCAUCCGGGUGCCCAUGCACAUAGAAGAAAGAGUCCAGAGCCAAAGAGCCUUGCUCCUCCAAUAAUGAAAUCAGUAGAGACGCAUUUCACAGUCUGGAGCGAUCUCAGGGAGUCCUUCCCAAGAAGACGAGCGAAGAACUGAUGCAUCCCUUGAAGAGGGUUAAAAGGGAGCAAAGCAAAGCUACAGACAUUGAACUAAAUUCAGGCGCAGUUCUUGUUUCUAUGGUGAAAAAUAAACAUUAACAAAGUAAAAGCACUAACAGUGUUUGCUACAGUGAGAAUGGUCACCAGGCGGCUGAGGACUCAAAGCCGGGAGGAAGGACGGUGGAUCUGUCGGUACCCCCUCCCUAGCCGAGGGGCAAGAUGUGUGACCAGUUCCAUCUUUGCCACCUUCCUGUGUAAUGAUGGCGUUCCAGGUGGCCCCACCUGCCUCCAUGCUUAGAGACGCCUUCUUAAUGGUGGUGGCACUUUUUCUCUGAGUCAUUCACACUGUCCCUCUGUCUCCUGCUAUUAAAGCGACUGGCUUUCUGACACGUUGGUCUGAGUUGAGGGCACCAGGCUGAGCAGAAUCGCUGCUGGCACCUGCAACCAAAAAUGGGCAGAAGAUCUAAACAGACGUUUCUCCAGAGAAGACAUACAGAUGGCCAACAGACAGAUGAAAGGAUGCUCAACAUCACUGAUCAUCAGAGAAAUGCAAAUCGAAACUACAAUGAGAUAUCAUCUCACACCGGUCAGAAUGGCCAUCAUCAAAAAAUCUACAAACAAUCGCUCACUCCACCAUCUCGACCUCUUAAAUUCAAGAGAGCUCCCCUAUGACCAUGAAGAACACCCGAGGUUACAUGAGAAACAUUAGCUGGUGCGUAAAGCUGUCAAACUCCCAAGAAGAACUGGCCCAGGGCAGACACUCCACAAGACAAAGAUGGAGGAGCGCACAGGAAAUGAAAGGAAGCAUUUUUCACCUUCCAAUGUGGAAGAAUGCCCAGUAACAGAGCCAGAAAAAGACCCAAGGAGGUCAAUCAAGAUGACUUGACGUUCAAGUCAAGGUAAAUUAGGUGGAGGGGAAAGAAUAAGGAAGAAGAAAACAGAGAUCAAAAACCCAACACCUAUACCCAAAUGUGAUGACUGCGUUUAACCUGGGGGCCACAGAGAAUGCCCCUCCUACCCAUGACUUUGGGAUAAUGAGGAAGGUGGGAGCAACCAGGAAGGAGGGGUUCUGCAGUGCAUUCAGCUAAUUUGGGGGCUGUCUUUUUUUUUCCUCUCCUGAAGCCUAUGCCUUAACUUGCUGAGGCUUGCUGCUUUAGACUCUCCUUUGACCAGCUGGUUUGCACCGGAACAGAGAUCAUAAAAACUGUCAACGUCAGGUGAUUAAGCUCUGUGAUUUUAAAGACUUUCCUCUUCCCAGGUUUUGCCACCUUCAAUUGACAUUUUCACUCUACGAGGCAAGGAUGGGAGAGUGUAGGGGCCAUGUAAGAGCAGCACAGACUCCACUGCGUGGGGCCUGAGCAAGAAUUCUGAGACUGUAUCUUAAACGUUCCCUGGAUUUCUGUGGUCCUUUGCCUCAGAUUCCCAUCCGAUUAGAGAAGGCAUCUGCCCUCCCUGAUGAAUAACUAUUCUAAGGUCCAGAAUUUUUCUUUUGAUAGAAUCUCACUUACAUGCAAGUUUAUACGUUGAUCCUAUUUUCAGGAGGUAAUUUUUACACUUGAAAGGCCCCCUUUCACAUCACGCUGGUGGUUCGAAAGCAGAACCGGAGCCUAAAAGGGAAAGAGAGAGAGACGAAUGUGUCUUCUUCAAAUCCACUUCUUGGGGCCCAAGUCUCCAGAAUAGCAUUGUCAAUCAGGAAGAUAAACACAAGAUCUGUGCUUUUUCCCUUCAA